CAAUAGCGUAUAUUUAAGUUGUUGCAGUUAAAAAGCUCGUAGUUGGAUUUCGGGGCGGCCCGGCCGGUCCGCCGCGAGGCGAGCACUGGUCGGGCGCCCUUCCUCUCGAAGGCUUCGACUGCUCUUGAUUGCGGUGGUCGAGGAGUUCGGGACGUUUACUUUGAAAAAAUUAGAGUGUUCAAGGCAGGCCGUCGCCUGAAUACAUUAGCAUGGAAUAAUGGAAGAGGACCUCGGUCCUAUUUUGUUGGUUUCCAGGGCCGAAGUAAUGAUUAAGAGGGACAGUUGGGGGCAUUCGUAUUCAAUUGUCAGAGGUGAAAUUCUCGGAUUUAUGGAAGACGAACAAGUGCGAAAGCAUUUGCCAAGGAUGUUUUCAUUAA
rnacentral:rRNA from 1 species